rnacentral:rRNA from 1 species
AGUCGAACGAUGAAGUCUAGCUUGCUAGACGGAUUAGUGGCGAACGGGUGAGUAAUGCUUAGGAAUCUGCCUAUUAGUGGGGGAUAACGUAGGGAAACUUACGCUAAUACCGCAUACGACCUACGGGUGAAAGGGGGCUUUUAGCUCUCGCUAAUAGAUGAGCCUAAGUCGGAUUAGCUAGUUGGUGGGGUAAAGGCCUACCAAGGCGACGAUCUGUAGCUGGUCUGAGAGGAUGAUCAGCCACACUGGGACUGAGACACGGCCCAGACUCCUACGGGAGGCAGCAGUGGGGAAUAUUGGACAAUGGGCGAAAGCCUGAUCCAGCCAUGCCGCGUGUGUGAAGAAGGCCUUUUGGUUGUAAAGCACUUUAAGUGGGGAGGAAAAGCUUAUGGUUAAUACCCAUAAGCCCUGACGUUACCCACAGAAUAAGCACCGGCUAACUCUGUGCCAGCAGCCGCGGUAAUACAGAGGGUGCAAGCGUUAAUCGGAAUUACUGGGCGUAAAGCGCGCGUAGGUGGUUAUUUAAGUCAGAUGUGAAAGCCCCGGGCUUAACCUGGGAACUGCAUCUGAUACUGGAUAACUAGAGUAGGUGAGAGGGGAGUAGAAUUCCAGGUGUAGCGGUGAAAUGCGUAGAGAUCUGGAGGAAUACCGAUGGCGAAGGC